UCUAGGAACCUAUCAAAAUCCCAAUCUGAAUAUAUAAGUAUAUAUAAACCAAAUUCAUCUAGAUAAUUAAAACCUUAGCGCUUAUAAUGUUGAUCCUUCUUAGCUCAUGCAUCGCAUUUGGUUCCUAAAUAGUUAUGGUCUGUACUACUCUAUAGUUGCAUCUUUAUUUUAUCUUUUGUAACGUGUGUUACAUUGUUAGCUUUACUUGAUUGUUGCUGUGUAUCAUGUGUGCCUCCAUGUUGGUCGGGUUUUAUUUAAACUUAUGCUUUCAUUUAUUUGGUUUUUCAAGUUUUAAGUUUGCUUUGAAAUCAAUGGUUGUGUUUUGUUCCAUACUUAUAGUAUGUUUUUAUAAGCAUAACGGGUGCUUCGUAAACUGAAAUUUCACUAACGGUGUUCUGUAUUGUGUUAGAACUAUGAUUUGUAACGAGCUGAUGUUUGAGAGAGUUCAUAUAUUUAAAUUUUUUAUGAAUGGUGAAAUAUGUGUCUGCACUUCUUACCAAACAUAUAUUUAGCAUUCAACCACCAGAGGUUGGAAAGAUUUAUUAUAUAUUAACAACAAUUAAUUAAGUUUUAAUUGAACUAGAAAUAUUUAAUUUAGAAUAAUAGAGUAUGACUAUAUAACGUACAACAUGAUUGAUGGUUCAAGUGAAUUUCGCAGUUGCAGUUCAGAAUCCUCUUUAGAUUUAGGCUGUUAUAUGGAGAAGAAUUAAAAUAUCAGAAACUAUUUUAUGCCUUUUCAGGGAUUGGAGAUUCUGCAGAUAAAUUUAAAUGUCAUUUUCUUUAUUUUAUUUCAAAAUGAGGCCAUUCUAAUUUUAUUUGUUUUAAUAAAUAAAGGACGCAGAAAAUCGGUCCCCUAAAUUGCCUCUAAAUACAGGCUCCAAGCGAGUUCACUCUUGCACGUCCCAUUAGCCGGGCCUGGGCGUGUUGCAUUUGAUGCUGCAACAGCUUCCUGGUGAGCUAAAGUUGCCAUCUUUACUGUCUUUGGAACUAUACCCUAAAAUGCUCUCUACGGUUUUGGAGUUUAGCAGUUAAAUGGUACGAGAAAACCGACUACCCGGCCCCCUGUUUUCAUAAAUACGGGAGUUUCUCUUUGAUACGUGGCAUUGUUAUAUUGGGCACAUUACGUGUCCCUGGUAUAUUAGUCUUCAUAUGAGUUCCAGAGAGUUCAUCCAUAGAGUUAUUAGAGAAGGCACCGAAGAAGAAGAGAAUAAAUUUGUGAGCAAGUGAUAAGGGCGAAUCAUCAUAACAAAUCAAGUAAGUGUUGUGAUUAUGUUUCUAUCUUGGAAGUGAUGUUUUGUUGAUGAAAAUUUUCUGUUAAGUUUGAUUGGAUUACUGAUCUGUUUGUUGUUGCAAUUAUAGAUUCCGUAAUUCAAUCUUGGUACACAAUUUCGAUUUAAUUUUUAAUGCUCAUUAAUUACUCUUUCCAAUUAUGUGAUUGUAUUAUUAGAAUGAAGCCCGGGCCACUUAAGAUCAUCCUUUCAAAGAAGGGUUCGUCCUCUGAAUGUGCAGGGGAGAAAAUUCCUGGGACAGGGGAAAAUGUCAGAGCAGCAUGUCCCAGCCACCUCAUCAUAUCUGAUCUGUCGGUGGCGAAAGGCAUUGGACAUGCGUAUGCUGCUGCACCUGUAAAGAAAGUUAAAGCCACUGUUCGCAGUGGUAACAAAGAAGGAGAUAAAGUUCAUAUUUGUUUUAAAUGCAACAUACCGAUUGCAAUUUAUGGUCGCCUGGUAUAAUUCCUUCCAACACUCCUUGUCUUCCUUUAUUUGUUGCAAGCUCAUUAAUUUCCUGGAGUUUUAUCCUUAGUACUCAAGAUGUGAGUGUAUAAAUAUAUUAUCCAAUCAGGAUAACACUUGGUCUGUUUAUUUUGUAUCUCACGACAAGUUUUUUUAUAGAUAGAACAAUUAGCUUACCUUUGCCCAAAGGCUAUAAACUCGAGUUCACUUCUCUACUUUUAUCUCCCUACUAAAUAUUUUCAUGCCAUCUCUUUUUUGCAUUUUAAAUCUUCUUAAAUCAAUUCAUAUAGUGGGUUUUGAUUUAGUUUCAGUCAAUGUAAACCUGCAGAUCUUUUGUCACUUGAUAUUGUUCAAUCUGAACUUUUGAUAGCAAACUACCAUCCAUUUUAUUUGUAUAUGUUGCAGAGCCCCUGUGAACAUGCUUUCUGCAUGGACUGCGCCUUGGAAAGCAAUUCUGAGUGCUACAUGUAAGUUCAAAUUAAUGCACACAUCUGUCAUCUUGUACUGUAUUUUGUUGCCUGAGUAGAUCAAUACAUUUUAUUAACAAUGGAGAUUAUAGUUGUAUAAACAUCAUAAUUUUAGUAUCAAAAAGUAUGUUUUUCUGUUGUUACCCUGAUAAAAUCAUAAAGUUGAGCUAUUUUUUUUGUUUGCUUAGUUGUGAAGCGCCGGUCAACAAAAUCCAGAAGAUUCAUAUGGGGAAAGGAAAGAUGUUCAUAUGUGGCUGGAUGAACUGCCUCAAGUCAUUCUGCGAGUUCGAUGCAUUUAAGAGCCAUACCGAUGAAGUCCAUGGUGGUAGUUCGAGCUCCGUCAAGAAUGGUGGUAACUGAGAUCUGCAUCUCUACAACCCAUAAACAGACCCCUACCCAGGCCGACUGCAAUUGAAAACGUUGCUGCUCUUUUCAGUUAUCAUGUUUUCUUUCUUGGAUUGUGUUUCUUUCCUUCUUUUGCGUUUCAGGCAAGACAAUCGGAUUUCUUGUUAUUAUGUUUCCAAAUAAUUACCGGAUUUCCUUUUGAGUUAUAAUACUCUUUGAAGACUGUUUUAGUCCUGGUGGAUUAUGUAUGUUGGUAAUAGAUGUAUGUGUGUAAUAUACUUUCAAUCCAUUUUGGAGAUGAAAGUACUUUACUUACUUUUCACUUGCUUUCCUCUCCUUUUAAAACCUCGGGAGCAGGGUAAGCGCCCUUCGUGUUUCAGAUCUAGUAUGAAGCAACUCUAGAAUACAGACUAUUUAGUAGCGAAGCUGGUGCCUGUGCUAGAAAAUUGUCGGGAUUACAUUUCCGGGCUAGGCAGAUUACAGUGGAAUGAUUAUUACAGUGUAGAAUACAAAUGUAUAAUAGUCAUUGUUGGACAGGUUUCCACAAGGAGAGAGCAUAGAUAACUCUUCCAUUCCAUCCCUGCAACAUCCAAUUGUUGUCUUCACGAACGAGAAACUUUUUGUUGUAUUGCAGCCUAACCUUUCUUUGUACUUCAGCCAGGAUCUCUCUUGGCAAAGGUGUCUGCAUAAAACCAGCCUUCGUGAUUCGGGAUGUCAACCGCUGGUAGCCUCGUACUUCUCAGGCCUCUCGACCCUGGCUGUUCCUUCGCAGGCUAUUACGGUUAUCGUGUCUUUUGCCAGCAUCAUCUGUUCUAUAACCAAUCUGCUUUUAUCUUCAUGGGGUAAAGUAGCCUCAAACAUGUCUGAGACUCUGAGGUUGGAGAAAUGAGCUAAAGCAUCUCAGAACCGCGCUUUAAAGAAGGCAGAAUUGUAACUGCCGUUGAGUACUCCAAGGACCAGUAGCUCAGGAUUUAUUCUCUUGAUUAAUUAGUUUCAAUACCACGUCUUGUGGACCGCUUUCUAGGGCUGUCUCAUCAGGCACUUGCCUUGGCUUGUACAAACAAUUGACAACCAGCCUUUCACCUUCGACGAUCUUUAAAUCUUCUAGCUGAAUGGAAUCCCAUUUCUUAGCAAUGCAGUUGUACUCGAAUGGGAUGUUGAAUCUCUUGCAAUAGUCACUUAAACAAGUCCCUGUCUUUGCCACCCUCUUUGAUGGCAGAAAACCAGGUUCUGGAAAAUCAAUUCCUGUGAUGCUUAGUCCGUUCUUGAAACACAUGAUUUUCAGCUAUAUAUUUUGCAGACAGAAUAUCACAAAACAAAUCAAUAGGAGUAGGAAUUGAAACCAGUAAAUCGUCAAACAAACCAUGUAACCAUAUGACUAUAUGAGAACCUAGAGGAAUAACUCAUAAUGUGAUACUCAGCUUCGCAAGUACUAUUUGACGUUUUUUGUUUCUUUGUUUUCCAUGAAAUUAACGAAUUGCCAAGAAAAACUGCAUAACCACUAAGAGAUUUAGCUGUAAAACUCUUCCCCCGUCCAUGUCACAGUAGCCCUUCAAAAUGUGAUCAUUAUCAGCGGAAUAAAAAAGACCUUAGUUGAUGGUACCACUGAGAUAUCAGAGAACAUGUUGAGCAGCUUCCAGAUAAAAUUGUGCAGGAGAUCGUAGAAAUUGACUAAGUUGUUGGACAGAGUAUGAUAUCAGGCCUUGUCAUAUUCAAGUAAAGCAACUUUCCAACAAGUCUCCUAUAGAUUUCUGGGUUGGGAUAGAUUUUGGGGAAAGGGGGAAGAAGUCACCGUGCAAUCUUGUACAGAUGUAUCUUUUAAAAGAUUAAUGAUAUAUUUUCUUUGGUUUGGUAAUAUACCAGAAGAGUUCCUCCAAACUUCAAUACCCAGAAAGUAUUUUAAUGGUCCAAGAUCCUUGAUCGUAAAAAUUGUACUAAUAAAAUGUUUGACAGCUCCAAUGCUUGAUAAGGAAUUACCUGCAACCAGAAAAUCAUCAACAUAAGCCGAGACCACUGUAAAAGUACCAUAAGGAUCAGCUUUAGUGAACAUAGAAUAAUCUUGCUUGGAUUGCACAAAACCAAGGUGAAGUAUAUGUUUAGUCAGCUCUUUAUUCCACUGUCUAGCUGCUACACCCUAGCAGCUUGUCUCAGACCAUAUAUUGAUCUUUUCAGUUUAUACAUUAAACCAGGUUGAGCUUUACUAUAUCAAGGAGGAGGAAGCAUGUAAAUAUCUUCAUCAAUAAAGCCAUGCAAGAAGGCAUUAUUGAUAUCUAACUGGUGCAAUUCCCAGUUCUUUGCUGCAGACACAUGAAUUUCGGAACAGAAAGUGAAUGCAACAGAACAACAAAAUUUGGCUCUGUAAGAUUUAUGAAUAUACAGAGACUGCUAGUAUAGCUACCCAGUGAAGCAUCAGUUUUUAAUCCAAUUCAACACAAUUAAAUAAGAGAAAUAAAGUCAAAAAAAUUGUAAUCACACAGAAGAACAAAACACUAUAAUCAGAAAUUACUAAUAAACACUCUAAAGUUGUUGAUUGUGUGAGAUACCUGAGGAAAGAAAGCAGAUCCGUUAGGGAACAACUAAGAAAUGUCCUUGUGGCUGAUACCAAAGAAAGUGGUCUUCUUCCAGAUUUAUUCAUUAGUACUGCUCCAAUCAUAGUUAUCAGAAUGUGUUACAGUUUUUGUAGAAUAAUUGCUUUGACACAAUAAGAUUGGCCUGAUAUUAUAUUUGUAACAAGUGUCUGAUCCCGGAACUAAUAUCAGACAAGAAUAUCGUGACAAACACAACUAUCUACAAGGAUAUAAUGCCCAGAUUAAAUGUUGCAUCUAAAACUGUAAUUUAUUUAUGUAUCACGUUCAUAUCAUAUCUACCCAGUGUUCCAAGAUUACCUGAUGAAUAUUUUUAAUAUUAGCAUUUAGUAUAUAGGUAUUAUAGUUAACAUUUAACAUUCAGUAUAUAUUCAGGAUCUCAUAGCAUUUACUUUGAUUAAACUACAUGAAAAGAUAAAAACCUAUGUAAAUAGUUUUAAAAUGCAACCACACUUUUGUUUAUAACAAGGAACAUAACGUCAACAUAUAAACCAGAAAAUAACUCGACUAAAACCGGAAAAAAAAAAGACGUAGCAACCUAACUAAGUAACUCGAUUCAAAUUGCUAUGUGGAAGUAGUCAUGAUCAAGGUGAUGUAAUCGCACAUAACCAUCUUCACCUCCACUUGCGAAACUUUUUCCAUCAGGGUUGAAAGCCAAUGCAUUUAUCGGACCAAAGUGUCCUUUCACAGAUCCAAUUUCUUCUCCAAGGACCUUAUGAUAAAAUUUGGCCUCAAACUUGCCAGCACGAGGAUCAUUUGUAACACUCGAUGCAUCCUGACCACCUCCAAGCACGACAUGAUCAAGUAGUGGAGAGAGUGUGACUGCAUUAACCGGGGUUUCAGCCUUAUAUGUCCUGACAAGUCUCAUUGAUCUGAUAUCCCAAAGCUUAGCUGAUUCGUCGAUGGAACCAGUAAGUAAACAUGAACCAUCUAUUGAUUUUGUAAGUGAUGUAACAGCCUUCUGAUGACCAGUCUCCUUAUCCGACUCAUAAAUCACUUUCUUCGUCUCAACGUCCCACACACGAACAACACCUUCUUCACCACCACUUAUUAUCGUCCUAUUCAACGGCCCCCAAACAGCUCUAUUACUUCUCCCUCCAAGCUGUGCCAAUUCAAUCACAGAAUCACCGCACUGCUCACUAGGCUCUCCCACAAUUUCUUUCACAUGAAUCGCAGAAGACAUUUCACCAAAGGAGUCUGUUGCAAUAACAGCAAGCUUAUCUCCAACACUAAAUUCAACUGAUUUCACAGUAGACCUAAAUUCAAACGUAAACAGCUCAGACCCCGUUUGAACAUCCCAUAGCUUCGCUGUUCGAUCCGCACUUGCGGUUAUCAAAAGUUUCGAAUCCCGACUAACAUCACAACCCCAGACAGCCCCAUUGUGGCCACGGUAAGUGCCUAAAAGCUCUCCAUUAUCCGCAUACCAAACAGCGGGGUUUCUGUCUAAUGCGCAGGAGAAGAGGAGAUCACCCUCCUUGUUAUACUUCAAAUACGUUAAUGGCCUUUCGUGCCCUUUCAUCAAGAUCGGCCUCAUAUUUCCUGACAAUCGAUAUAGCAGAAUUUUGAUUAUACACAAAUUAAUAGCUAAAAUUUGAAGAACAAAUCAACAUGCACUACAAAGAACUCAGCGUAAUUUCAACUUUUCAAUAGUCACUAAUUUCAACAGUAUUCCAUCGAAUUUAACUUCUGCCAAAAAUAUUCUUUCAAAAUUAACGAUUUUUCUAGCAGUGAUGAUCAUCAAUCACAAUAUCUACAUCAAAUUUAAACAAGAACAAAGUGCACUCGAAAAUUAACGUUUUUAAUAUUCGAAAAUCGAACCUGAUAAAAUCGAAUUAAUUAACCAUAUAAAAGUACCUGUGUGUACGUUUGAUUGAGUGUAGAAUAAACCUUAAUUGAAGAAGAAGCUGCACUGUGUGAUAACUAGGGGUGUGCACGGGUCGGUUCGGUUCGGUUUUUAGCUAAAACCGUUACCGAACCGUACAUAUCGAUUCGGUUCGGUUUCUAUCUUAAAACCGUUACCGAACCGUCUCAAACGGUUUUUUUCGGUUCGGUUAACCGUCGAUUUUUUCGGUUAACCGUCGGUUAUUUUUGUGAGCAAGAGACAAAAAUAAGGUAUAAUCACUAAUUAAAUAUUAUUCAUUAGUACGUAUUUUACCAAAAUAAAUAAAAAAGAAAAUAUUUAAAAUAUAAAUACUUAUUAAUAUAAUCGAAAUGAAGUACAUGAGCACUAUUACGGUAUGUAAAGAUGAUCUAGAAAUGUAAAGUAUGAAUCAGCCCAGUGUUUUUUUUUUUUAAGGAAACGAACUUGCAUUACUUAGAAAUUAUCAGAAUUCAGUACAAGGCUUAGUUACACAGUAUCUCUUUAUGAAAAUGAUAUUAAUUAGUAACUACUCUACUACUCUCUCUCUACUUAAAUAUAACAAACUGCUGUAACUUGCUGACUUGUAACUAUAGUUGAGGUGGAUAGUUCCUUACUUAGCAGAUAAUAUAUCAAUAAUACCAAUGUAAUAAUUUAUUUUAUAUAAAAUAUAUAAUAUAUAAUAAAUUAUAUAAUAUUAUAUAAGCGGUUCGGUUUUUCGGUUCGGUUUUAGGUGUAAAACCGUAACCGUUGGUUCGGUUAACCGUCGGUUCGGUUGAGCUACGGUUUUUUUCGGUUUUUGUCGGUUUCGGUUUUUUUCGGUGUGGUUUUUCGGUUUUUCGGCUCGGUUUCGGUUUUUCGGUUUUUUUUGCUCACCCCUAGUGAUAACCCUAGAGAAGAAACUGUUUUGUUGUGUAUUUAAUCGUCAAUAUAUAUAAGUUAGCUUUCGAUUACUAGUCUAAUUAGGUUAAUGAUAAUAUUUGCAAAUUCAAAUCCCGUUCUGUUUGUAAAUUCAGAUGUCACUAAAUUUUAUGGAAACCCUAAAUUAAAAUCUCUUCGAAAUAUAAAAUUUUUAUUUAAUUGAAAAAAUAAAAUAUUUAAUAAUAAAUAUGACAAAAUUAAAAAAAUUAUUAUAUUUAACACAUAUUUUAAUUAUAUAUAGUGUAUAAUUUUAUAACUCAGGUCUAAAUUAUCCUAAAAAACUUUUAAAAGUUAAGUAAUUUUUAUAAGAAAAAAUUUAAAUAAUCUAUUUGAAUUAUACUUUGCAAGGCUUGCAACUAGGGGAGAAUAUGGGCCGGUUCGGCUCGGUUUCCGGGUGAAACCGGAACCGCAACCAUAUAUCUUCGGUUUUUAAAAUCGAAAACCGCAACCAUGGGUAUGGAUUCGAUUUCGGUUUCGGUUUAAUAAACCCCGGUUCGGUUGUAAUCGGCUCGGUUUCGGUUAUAAAAUCGAUAAAUAAAAGAAUAAAAAACAAUAUACAAACGAGACAAACUAAUGCGUGUAAUCUAGACAUAAUAAUAAAUACAACUUGAACAUGGUCAAAGAAAAAUAGUGCAAUGAAUUUCAUGCUGAUAGUAGAACUCUUUCGAAGCAGAUAAUAGAUAUCCUUUUCUUUUCCAAAUGUUUUAACACUUCUUUACCUUCCAAAGGAAGGAGUUGCUUAAAAUCAAUUAAAACUUCAGAAAGCAGGUGUCUGUAACUACUUAAUAACAAAUGGCAGCAACAGAUUAGCUCACUAUACCAAGUAUUUUGAAGAAAAAAAAGGGCAGCAUUAACGGUAUAUUGGAACCAGCAGAAAGCAUUGAAUAUCCUGCUUGGUUUCAACUUUAAGUUCAUCUGUAAAUCAAACAGGUCACAUUGACAGCAGCCAGAAUAUGUUUUUCUUAAAUUCUAACAUUAAUAUAACUAUCAACACAAUGAAAAUAGUUAUUUCUUUCUCUGGAAUUAUUUUUAAAUUCAUAUAAAUAUAUAUUAUAUUUAUUUAUUAAAAUAAUCGGUUCGGUUCAGAUUUUUCCGGUUCGGUUUUAAUCAAUAACCAGAACCGAACCCAUAACACCGGUUCGGUUUUUCAUUUUUCGGUUUCGGUUUCGGAUCGAUUUUUUUCGGCUUGGUUUUCACCGGUUUCGGUUCGUUUACGGUUUUUUUUUUGUUUUUUUGCUCAGCCCUGCUUGCAACCAUACAAUCAUUUACGUCAGAUUAAUUAUUAACUAUUAUAAUAUUUCUAUGUAUCGGAUCCAAAUAUUAUUUUAGGGGUCGUUUGAUUGGAGGGGAGUAUGGGGUUUAAAUGAGGAAUCGACUUGAGGUGGUAUGAGAUUGAUGUAUCAUUUUUAAUAUCAUGUGUUUUGUUAAGUGCUGGAAUGAAUAUAUCUAAUAUAAAUAUUUUUAAGUGAUUAAUUAUAAUUAAUUUAAAAAUAUUCUUGAAAUAAUUUUUUUAUAUAUCUUUGAGUCAUCAACUUAAUUUGGUAAUAUCAUUUUGAAUUUGAUGACAUAAAUAAAAAUAAAAAAUAAGACAAUCAAAAUUGAUUUCUCAAAUCUAUGUUUCAUACCCACCUCCUCCUCUGAGUAUGAAAAUCUCAUACAUUGUAGGUUUGAGGCAUGGAUUUGAAGGGAAAAAAAAUCUAACCAAACAUUAGGUAUGCGUAUGUAAUGAACGAAAAUCAUAGCUGAUACCAGACCCGUGAACCGAACGACCUGUUAGAACUCUAUCAAAAAAAAAAUAAAUUAUCUGUUAGAAGCUCCACCAUUUCUUCAAUUAACAACUUUGACAAAUAUAAAGUUAAUCAAAUUUUGAUACAGCUCAUUUUCAUGGUUAUGCUCGGCCCAACUGUGUCUUUGUCGCUUUUAAUUCGCGAGAAUUUCGGAAGUUGCCGGAGGUUUGGAAUACCGGCGAUGAGAGAACUUCCGGUCGUCGGCGUAGGCACAGCUUUAAUGAAGACAAGCAGGGCUGUUGUUAUUUUGGUGAGCAAAGAUUUUAAAUAUCAAUUUUCUUUUUCAUGAUACUCAUGAGUAGCUGUAUGCAUUAUAAUUCUUUGUGUAAUUCUUGUGUAAUCUUGAAACCCAUUUUGAGUGGACUUGAUUAUGUAAUAAGGUAAAAGAUUAAUUUUUCUUUAUCAAUAUGAGUAAGAUGUCUUACGAAUUAGUAUAUGUUCUAAUAAAUCUCGGCUAUUAUGUGUUUGAAUGAAUUAAAUCCCGGGAUGAGCAAGAGUGAACAAAUGACUUGGGACGACAGGGGAUAAGCCUUGCGAUGUUACAAGUCAUUCAUUGUGAUAAACAAAACCGAGGACAUUAAGAUUCCCCGUUAGGUUUUCAUUUUACUUAGUACUUUUGUGCCUGUAACAUUUGAUUUAACGAGCGUAUUGUAUAGCUGUUUAGUCAGGGUGCCGAGAAACUGCAUGCUCUUAUAUGUAUACAGCCAUACAGGGUGCCGAGAAAGUGCAUGUUCUUAUAUGUAUAUGUUAUUCGUACAGAGGUUACUUAAAUCAUUUGCCAACCUAUAUAAACAUAGUCCGGUUUAUGCUCUUUAAGGACCUGAACUGAUGUCAUAACCAUUGCGCAAGAAUACUGGCUAUAUAUAUUUUACCUAUAGGUACUAUGCAUAACUGACUGAAUUGUAUCUCUGUAGAAAGUAGUGUUAUGAUUUUGGGUUUUGGGAUGCGUCGGGAUGAUUUAGGGUUUAGGUGUGUUUCAGGAUUUGAGAUGUGUUGCUUUUAAGGCUUUUGGUGUUAUCAAUAAUGAUAUAAGAGUUGAUGUUCUUAUACGAGAAAAUAUCAUAGCCAAAGGACUAAUAAGUAUUUUUGAAUCCACCAGAAAAUGAAGGGAAAACUCUGAAAGGUUUUAUUUUAAUAAAAGAUUGUCUUAUAAGAUUUCAAGAUAUGAGUAUUUAUAGACUAGGGAAAUAGUCUAAACUCAAGAGGAAUCUGAAAGAAAUUCAGGACCAACUAGAAUAGAAAAUUAGCUAAUAUCUAAACCCAUCUAGGAACCUAUCGAAACCCCAAUCUGAUAAUUAAAACCUUUUACCGCUUAUAAUGUUGAUAAUUCUUAGCUCAUGCAUCACAUUUGGUUCCUAAAUAGUUAUGGUCUGUACUACUCUAUAGUUGCAUCUUUAUUUUAUCUUUUGUAAAUACUUGCCUCUUUUUACUUGUGCCCUACAUGUGUUACAUUGUUAGCUUUACUUGAUUGUUGCUGUGUAUCAUGUGUGCCUCCGUGCUGGUCGGGCUUUAUUUAAACUUAUGCUUUCAUUUAUUUGGUUUUUCGAGUUUUAAGUUUGCUUUGAAAACAAUGAUUGUGUUUUGUUCCAUACUUCAAGUAUGUUUCUAUAAGCAUAACGGGUGCUUCCUAAUCUGAAAAUUCACUAAUGGUGUUCUGUAUUGUGUUAGAACUAUAAUUUGUAACGAGCUGAUGUUUGAGAG
rnacentral:lncRNA from 1 species